GACGAACGCUGGCGGCGUGCUUAACACAUGCAAGUCGAACGGAAAGGCCCUGCUUUUGUGGGGUGCUCGAGUGGCGAACGGGUGAGUAACACGUGAGUAACCUGCCCUUGUCUUUGGGAUAACUUCAGGAAACUGGGGCUAUUACCGGAUAGGAUCUCCUGCUGCAUGGUGGGGGUUGGAAAGUUUCGGCGGUGGGGGAUGGACUCGCGGCUUAUCAGCUUGUUGGUGGGGUAGUGGCUUACCAAGGCUUUGACGGGUAGCCGGCCUGGGAGGGUGACCGGCCACCUUGGGACUGAGAGACGGCCCAGACGCCUACGGGAGGCAGUAGUGGGGAGUAUGGCACAAUGGGCGGGCGCCUGAUGCGGCAGCGCCGCGUGCGGGAUGACGGCCUUCGGGUUGUAAACCGCUUUCGCCUGUGACGAAGCGUGCGUGACGGUAAUGGGUAAAGAAGCACCGGCUAACUACGUG
rnacentral:rRNA from 1 species